rnacentral:rRNA from 1 species
GAUGAACGCUGGCGGCGUGCCUAAUACAUGCAAGUAGAACGCUGAAGGAGGAGCUUGCUCUUCUGGAUGAGUUGCGAACGGGUGAGUAACGCGUAGGUAACCUGCCUGGUAGCGGGGGAUAACUAUUGGAAACGAUAGCUAAUACCGCAUGACAACAGUUAUUGCAUGAUAACUGUUUAAAAGGGGCAACUGCUCCACUACCAGAUGGACCUGCGUUGUAUUAGCUAGUUGGUGAGGUAACGGCUCACCAAGGCGACGAUACAUAGCCGACCUGAGAGGGUGAUCGGCCACACUGGGACUGAGACACGGCCCAGACUCCUACGGGAGGCAGCAGUAGGGAAUCUUCGGCAAUGGACGGAAGUCUGACCGACCAACGCCGCGUGAGUGAAGAAGGGUUUCGGAUCGUAAAGCUCUGUUGUAAGAGAAGAACGAGUGUGAGAGUGGAAAGUUCACACUGUGACGGUAUCUUACCAGAAAGGGACGGCUAACUACGUG